rnacentral:rRNA from 1 species
GGAAGAUUAAUACCGCAUAAGAUUGUAGUAUCGCAUGAUAUAGCAAUUAAAGGAGCAAUUCGCUAUAAGAUGGACCCGCGUCGCAUUAGCUAGUUGGUGAGGUAAUGGCUCACCAGGGCGACGAUGCGUAGCCGACCUGAGAGGGUGAUCGGCCACAUUGGGACUGAGACACGGCCCAGACUCCUACGGGAGGCAGCAUG